CCAAGUCAUAAUAUUCCUCUGCAUGGUUCUUUCCAUACCUCUAUCAGGAAUAAUCACAGGCCUCUUAAGCUAAAGGCCUCCCUAUGAUUGCAAUUUUGAUAUUCUCCAAGAAUAAUUUUCAGUCAUUCUUGUCCAUUAUAUGCAUCUAAGCUUCCUAUUACAUUUUUAGACUUUUUUAACUGUUUAUCAAAGUAGAAUGUCUGUGCCUCAACUGCAGCCACUGAUCUGAACCCCUGGGCAAUAGACCCUCCAAGAACCCACAGACCUGAGGAAUUCAUUAGGUCCAGAUCAUCUGCAUUCAGGCAAGAAUUCAUCUCCCGGUAUUGAAUUUGGUGGACUAAGUUCUCUCCUCUUGAGGAAACUGCAAGCCGCUGUCUCUGUCUUCGCUUUUUAGUCAAGAAGAAUAAUGCGACGAAAAUGGCCAACAGAACAACCCCAAGGAUCCCGACUGCAAUAAAGGAUGACUGACGGGAUGAGCGACCUGUUGUGGCUUUUUGUGGGGUUUUCUGCACUGAAAUAUCUGUGCAAUUCACUGCAGCGUCUUCCUUGUGCCCACACUCACUAUGGCCCCAGCGUCUGGCAGGACAAUCCCACAAGGAAGACUCAUUCCCUUUGCACUUCACUUCAUUGAGCCAUAUCGGUCCAGUCCCCUGACCAAACUCUGCUUCUUUGAAUGCUUUCAAAGCUGGACCACAGCCAAGUUGUUGACACACCACCUGAGCAUCGUCCAAGUCCCAAGAGUCAUCACACACUGUCCCCCAGGAACCUCCAUGCCAGAUCUCCACACGUCCAGAACAGGAAGUGGGUCCUUCCUGAAGUCUUAUCUUGUUGUCACAUGUGAUCCAGGUCUCCUCCGAGGGGCUGGCCAGUCUCUUCUCCCAUGGAGAUGAUGGGCACUGCCACAGCGUGUCAGGUCCUUUUGGACACUGAACAUUGUCCACCCACAUGGGAAUGGACAUGGCCUUGUCUAAAGAUGCAGGGUUGAUUUUCCCUUUGUCUGCACAGCCCAGCUGCCUGCACACCACACCCACAGUGGUUUCAGACAUGCUACUCUUGCCAACAGUGCCCCAAGCUCCAUUGUAAAAAACUUCCAGACGCCCUGCACAGGCCUCUCUGCUGGCUUCACUGGUCAGUCUCAGAGACAUGAAUUCUGAGCAGAUAACUCCCGCAUCCUCCUUGUGCCUGCAAUUUUGCUGCCCCCAGCCGUGUGAAUGGCACUGCCAAAUGCGGGAUUCUUUUCCAUUGCAUUUCAUCUCAUCCAGCCAGAUGGGCCCUGUUCCUUCCCCAAAAUGAGCAGAACCAGUGGCAUUAAUGGCCUCUCCACAGCCCAGCUGUCUGCAAACCACGUGGGCAUCACUCAGGUCCCAGCUGUCAUCACAGAUGGUGCCCCAGGAGCCCUCAUGAUAGAUCUCUACUCUCCCAGCACAGCGACCUCCUCCAUUUACCAGGCGAAGUUGACCACUCUCUAUGCAGGCCACAGCACUUUCUUCUGGAAUGGUAGGCCUUGUUGGGCCCAAAGACGAUGAAUUGCACGAGGACAGUGUUUGGGACUGGUUUCCUGAGCAGAUUACAGAGGCCACUUGCUCUGAAGGACAUAAUGAAGCACCUAGAGCAGUUACAGGACAAUCUCCCAUGUGCUGCUCAGUCCCAGUGCAGUGAAACAUAUGCCUCCAGAUCUGACCAUUUCCUUUUCCAAAACGUGCUCCUCCUGGGGUAGAAAGGGCAACUCCACAUUUAAGCUGCUGGCAAAGAACAUGGGCAUCUUCUAUGUCCCAGUGAGAGUUACAGAGGGAUCCCCAGGCACCAAGCGUUUUGAGCUCCACUCUGCCCUCACACGGGGUCUUGCCAUUCACCAAGCGAAUUUCUGUGUAUCUUGAGCAGACUACUCCAACAUCCCUGCUGUGGCUACAAGUUCCUUCUGGGCGGGGUGCUACUGGGCAGAGUGAAAGAUGGGACUCAUGUCCCUCACACUGGAAUUCUUCAGCCCAGAUCUGUCCAUUUCCCUCUCCAAAGUGAGCUCCCCCCAGGAUAGAGACAACUGUGCCACACUGUAAUUCCCUGCAUAGAACGCUGGCAGCUUCCAGAGAGAAGUCCGAAUCACAGAUGGAGCCCCACGUGUCACCAUGCUUCACUUCAACACGUCCAGAACAGGGAAUGUCCCCUCCAACCAGUCUGGGUUCCCUGUGGGCUGAGCAGGUAAUUUUGGCUUCUUCAUAGUGAUCACAGGUAAGUCCACCCCAUUGCCAGUUCUUGCAGUCCCAAAGAGAAGUUUCAUUUCCGUUACAGCUACUUAGAAACAGCCAUGUGUUUGUUGCCUGGAUUUUGGAGUACACUUGAUAAGAUGUUUUGAGUGCAGAUCCACAUCCCAGCUGCCUGCAAACCACAUCAGCUUCUUUCAGUCCCCAGCCUCUGUCACACACCUUCCCUAACAGUCUCUGAAUCUCCACCUCAACUGUCCCAGCACAGCGGCUGCCUCCACCUCUAAGUCUUAGCUCCAGAUCUGAUCCAUCAGAACAUGUCACGCCAGCAUCUUCAUUGUGAUUGCAAUAAUGCUUUCCCCAUUCAUGGUGUUUACAUUGCCAGAUAGCAGGUUCAUGUCCCUGGCAAGAAACGCUGUCAAGCCAGAUGUGUCCAAAUCCCUUACUGGCGUUAACUCGACCAAUGGCUGUGACGGCAGUUGGACAUCCCAGUUGCUUGCAUGCCACAGCAGCAUCGUAACUGUCCCAGCCGUCAUCACAUAUUGUCCCCCAUUCUCCUUGGAAUCUCACUUCUAAUCUUCCUGAACAUUCAGUGACUCCAUCUACCAGUCUCAGGCUCAGAUCUGCUCCCUUUGAGCAAAUCACUCCAGCAUCCUCAGCAUGAUCACAGUUAUGCUUUCCCCAUCCUUGAUGUUUGCAGUUCCAGAGAGCUGACUCAUUUCCGUUGCAUAUAAGAUCAUCAAACCAGAUUGGUCCAGAGCCUUCUCCAAAAUUAGAUGAACCAGAGAAACUGACAGCACUUCCACAUUCAAGUUGUCUACAAAUGACAGAUGCAUGAUCUAUGUUGAAGUUAUCAUCACACACUGUUCCCCACCGUCCUUGGAAUUUGAUCUCUAUUCUUCCAGAACACAUAUUCCCUCCACGCGUCAGCCUCAUUUCCAAAUUGGAUCCAUCUGAGCAGGUCACUCCAGCAUCUUGUUGGUGAGUACAGUUACUAUGCUUUCCCCAUCCAUCAUGUUUGCAAUCCCAAAGAGCUGACUCAUUCCCACGACAAGAAACAUGAUCCAUCCAAAUGCGUCCAGAACCUGCACUGGAAUUAGCCCAUCCAGGGGCUUUGAUAGCAGUUGGACAUCCCAGCUGGUUACAAAUCACAGAGACCGCUUCCAUGCUCCAGCCAUUAUUACACACCGUUCCCCACUCCUCCUGGACUUUCACUUCCACUCUCCCGCUACACUUGUUUUCACCAUCCACUAGCCUCAGCUCCUUGUCUGUUCCUCCAAGAGAACUGGUGACAAAACAGGCACUGAGAAGUAAGACCACAGUAAUGGUGAAGGGACUCAAGUUGACAAAAUGUCUUCUGAAGUCAGCAGAUCCAGAGUCUUCAAGUAGCACCAUUCUGAGUUUGCUCAUUCCAAAGAUUUAUAACUUCAAUGAUUCCUAAAUCUUCUUGUAUUAUUCCCUAGAAAUG
rnacentral:lncRNA from 1 species